rnacentral:rRNA from 1 species
UACGUAGGGUGCAAGCGUUGUCCGGAAUUAUUGGGCGUAAAGAGCUCGUAGGCGGUCUGUCGCGUCGGCUGUGAAAUCCCGGAGCUCAACUCCGGGCCUGCAGUGGGGUACGGGGCAGACUAGAGUGCGGUAGGGGAGACUGGAAUUCCUGGUGUAGCGGUGAAAUGCGCAGAUAUCAGGGAGGGAACACCCGGUGGGCGAA